rnacentral:lncRNA from 1 species
UUUUAUUGUAUUUUAUUUUUUUUAUUUUAUUGUAUUUUAUUUUAUUUUAUUGUAUUUUUUCUAUUUUAUUUUAUUGUAUUGUAUUUUAUUUUAUUUUAUUUUAUUUUAUUUUCAUUUUUAUUUUUAUCUUUAUUUUUGUUUUGUUUUUAUUUUGUUUUACUUUAUUUUAAUUUUUACUUUUAUUUUACUUUAUUUAUUUUCUCUCUCCCCCAGCUACGCUCGCCGGGACAGCCCCAACUACGACCCGUACAAACGCUCCCCCUCGGAAUCCAGCUCCGAGUCCCGCUCCCGGUCCCGGACGCCGUCCCCGGGCCACGAGGAGAAGAUCACCUUCAUCACCAGCUUCGGCAGCGCGCGAGGGAGUUCCCGGCCCGGGAAGCUGGGGAGUACCGGCGCGAGCACCGGCGCCAGCAGCUCGGCGCCCGCCCACCGAGCCGCCUCCCGGCGCCGCUCUUCCUCCACCUCCAGCUCCUCCUCCUCCUCCUCGCGCUCCUCCUCCUCCUCCUCGUUCAGCUCGGGCGGCUCCCGCAGCCCCUCCCGGGGCUCCCGCCCGCCCUUCCGGGGCCGCUCCCGGGGCCUCUUCCGGGGCCGCUCCCGCCGCUCGCGGAGCCGCUCGCGGAGCCGCAGCCGCUCCCGGAGCCGCUCGCGGAGCCGCAGCCGCCGCUGGGGCGGCUCCGGGACGCACUCGCUAUCCACUUCCCGGAGCAGCAGCAGCAACAGCAACAGGGACACGCCACCGCCACCGCUCCCCAGGUCAGUGCGGGCUUAGGGCGGUUUGGGGUACCCAGGGCAGUUGCCGAUUUGGGGAAGCCAUGCUCGCUCCCGGAGCAACCGGCAGCAAACUGGCGGGCCGCCACCCGCCGCCGCUCCAGGUCAGUGUCUUGGGGCAGUUUGGGACACUUUGGGACAGUUUGGGUCAGUUUGGGGCAGUCGUUGGGUUGGGUGUUGGGUCAGUUGGGGCAGUUUGGGUCAGUUUGGGGCAGUUUGGACGGUUGGACGGUUUGCGGUCAGGUUGGGUCGUUGGGUUA